rnacentral:misc_RNA from 1 species
GAAAUGCGAUAAGUAAUGUGAAUUGCAGAAUUCCGUGAAUCAUUAAAUCUUUGAACGCACAUUGCGCUCUUUGGUCCUCCGAAGAGCAUGUCUGUUUGAGAAUCAGUAAAUCUCUCGAGCCUGGCAGUUGUUAUGAUUGUCGGGCUUGGACUUGGGACGUGUCAGCAAUGACUGUCCUUGAAGCCAGAUUUUUGCCUUGACUAGCGCAGGCUAGCCGCCGAGUGCCCAAAGCAUGACCAAUGAGUCUCACGAUUCUAUGAUUGUUGCGAGCGCGCGUGCCGGCUUGUCCGUGGUACCAGGGGGGAAAGCACUGCUUGAAAGAGCAAACACACGAGGGCAGCAAUGCCUUCAAGACAUGAUCUCAAAUCAGACAAGACUACCCGCUGAACUUAA